UGUUCAGGUGGAUGGACUUGAGUGAUUGGUUAUCAUAUAGAGCAACGGGAGAUGAUACUCGUAGUCUAUGUACAAUAGUAUGCAAAUGGACGUAUCUUGGCCAUGCACAUAUGCAACAAAUAAGUGAAAAAGAUUCCCGAGACAUGGAAGCUUGCGGUUGGGAUGAUGACUUUUGGGAAGAGAUUGGCUUGGGAGAUCUUGUAGAUGGGCAUCAUGCUAAGAUUGGACGGAGUGUAGCUUUUCCUGGCCACCCCUUGGGUUCUGGACUAACUCCUACAGCUGCGAAGGAACUGGGUCUUGAAGCAGGAACUCCUGUGGGGACUUCACUGAUUGAUGCUCAUGCUGGUGGUGUGGGGAUCAUGGAGAGUGUUCCUGAGGCAGAUUCUGAUGCUAAUGAGUAUGAUAAGGAAGCAAUAUGCCAUCGCAUGGCAUUAGUAUGCGGUACUUCUACUUGUCAUAUGGUUGUGUCACAGGGCAAGUUGUUCAUUCCAGGGGUUUGGGGGCCAUUUUGGUCAGCAAUGGUCCCUGAGUACUGGCUUACAGAGGGUGGGCAGAGUGCUACUGGUGCGUUACUAGAUUACAUCAUAGAAAACCAUGUUGCUUCUACUCGCCUUGCAAAUUGUGCUGCUUCUCAAAAUAUAUCGCUGUUUGAAUUACUGAACAAUAUAUUAAGGACAAUGAUGGAUGAUCAAAAGGCUCCAUUCCUUGCUGCUUUGACAGAAGAUGUACAUGUUCUUCCUGACUUUCAUGGGAAUAGAUCUCCCAUUGCAGAUCCAAAAGCAAAAGGAAUUAUUUAUGGUAUGACUCUUGAUACAAGUGACAGACAGCUGGCUCUUUUAUACCUUGCUGCAAUACAGGGUAUUGCAUAUGGUACACGCCACAUUGUGGAACACUGCAAUGCUCAUGGUCACAAAAUUGACACAUUGCUUGCAUGUGGUGGCCUUUCAAAAAAUCCUGUGUUUGUUCAAGAACAUGCAGAUAUCAUUGGUUGCCCUAUUGUACUUCCUCGAGAAAGUGAGUCAGUGUUACUGGGU
rnacentral:misc_RNA from 1 species